UCUUCCGUAGUAUAGUGGUCAGUAUGUGAGCUUGUCAGUCCCUGAUCUCGCUCGAGACCCGGGUUCAAUUCCCGGCGGGAGAG